GACGUAGGGCGCGAGCGUUGUCCGGAUUUAUUGGGCGUAAAGAGCUCGUAGGCGGCUUGUUACGUCGACUGUGAAAACCCACGGCUCAACCGUGUGGUCUGCAGUCGAUACGGGCAGGCUAGAAUUCGGUGAGGGGAGACUGGAAUUCCUGGUGUAGCGGUGAAAUGCGCAGAUAGUCAGGAGGAACACCGGUGGCGAAGGCGGG
rnacentral:rRNA from 1 species